rnacentral:rRNA from 1 species
UACGAAGGGGGCUAGCGUUGCUCGGAAUCACUGGGCGUAAAGGGCGCGUAGGCGGCUGUUCAAGUCGGGGGUGAAAGCCUGUGGCUCAACCACAGAAUUGCCUUCGAUACUGGACGGCUCGAGACCGGAAGAGGUCAGUGGAACUGCGAGUGUAGAGGUGAAAUUCGUAGAUAUUCGCAAGAACACCAGUGGCGAAGGCGGCUGACUGGUCCGGUACUGACGCUGAGGCGCGAAAGCGUGGGGAGCAAACAGG